UUUUACUGUACUUUGUGUCUGGUUAUUUUAAGGCCGGUGUUGUGCCGAAUUCGGCACCCCUGCCGCGAGAUACACCUCAACGUCUUUUGCAAGAAACUGGAGCUGGCGGAGGUCAUAUUGAGCACUUGUAAAAUUACAAGAGGAAGAGGAAGAGAACAGACCAAAUACAAGUAAAGAGUCAGAUAAGGGCAGACACAGCCUAGGUCACUGUGGCUCUCAUGAGGCUGAUAGAACUGCUCUGCUUUCUGGCCUUCAUGUCUUCCUGAUUUUCCGCUAUGAGCAUUGAGAUCUGCUAAAAGAAGGUUUAGAUCGUCACAGACCAGGUCACUCUAGUUGUCAUGAUGGUGACCCCUCAGUUCUUUGAUUUACAUCAUCAUAGAUGCAGCCCCGGUUGCUCUGGUUCUUAUGGUGGAACCCAAACCAUCCUGUCCUCUGAUGUUUGUAGAAGCAGUCUGCAUGGGUCUAGUCAUGCCUAGGUGCUUGGUUUUAUACACCUGUGGCCAUGGAAGUGAUUGGAACACCUGAAUUCAGUUAUUUGGAUGGGUGAGUGAAUACUUUUGGCAAUAUAGUGUAUCAACCUUCAGGUUUUGUGUAGAACAUUUUAGUGACUGUGAUGCUGUUUAUAUCUUGUUUUCAGAUUUUCGCAGACUCAGCCAAGUUUGUUCUAGUUCUUAUGGUGACAUAACCUCUCAGCCCUCUGGUAAGGUUCGAUUCAUUGUAGAUAAUUUUGGUAUAUGACAUUUCCUCUCAGUGACUAGCAAGGUAAAAUAGAAUGUACAGAAACAACUCCUGUUUCAGGCCACAAAUUCUGCACUUAAAUUAUUAAACACAGUGGUAUGCCCAAAUUCAAAUCAUCUCAAGACUCCCAUCCUGUUUUAGACUCCUAACACUUUUUCUUUUUAGUUUUGCAUUUCUCACAGUACUAUGUCUUGACUUGAAGAAUUCUUUUGCUUUCCAGAUGGGAAUUUGCCUCUGCCUGGCUCCAUCCUGCCUAACACUCAGAACCUAGAGAACUUGUCUUCAUAUACAUCACAUAGCAUUAAUGCAGACAGAUAAUGAAUUAUUGGUUACUUUUGACAUUUAUAUUAUAUUCCAGUUGAAAUAUUUUCUGAAUCUAACACUUGUAUAACAUGUUGUCUACAAUAAUAAAUUGAAACUGUAAAAUGAUCAUUUUAAAUUUUAACUAAGCAUAGAAUUUAUUGUGAUUCUUGUGGUUAGUGUUUCAGAAGUGAGUGUUGUCAAAAUGUCUGGACAUAAAUGAGGAGGUCAAGUGGCUUGGAAGAGCUGAGCUACCUUUGUCUGAUACACAUAUAGUUAAAAUGGACAGUAUUGCUGAGUUUGAAAGGGAAGAGUCUAGACUUCAGGACAGGAAUGCAAGAGAGGUUCUGGUAAGAUUGCAGAGGCUGGAUGAGGUGUUCGAAUCAUACACUGAAGAGCUGUAUGAAAGUCACAAUGGUGGUCCUGUUUUGUCUGUCUUUUUUUGUUUUUAGGGCUGUACAACUGUCCAGCGUUGGUGGAAAAAAUGUGAAGGAUCUACAUAUAGCUUCAUUAGCUAACUUAACUAACAACCUCAUGGGCAGCUUCAACAUGAAGGGAAAGGGGAAAGGGGAAAAGGAAAAAGAAGGCCCUUGAAGAUACACACCUGUAUUCUGUGAUUAAAGCUGCCGUAAUGAAAUGGGACAAAAGUGCCACUGAAGCAGAGAUACGGAUUGCAGCAUCUGCCAUAAAUGGGAACUCCACAAAUUCUACAUGAAGCUUUAUGUCUGGAUUGAGCUUCUCUGGUGUGAUGUCAGGACCUGUGCCACCUCAAGAUGCUGGCUUUUGAACUGUGUGCUGAUAACAAGAUGGAUGGUCCCUCUCCUAUUUAGCCCAGAGGAUGGAGCAUCCGUGAUUUCCAAAAAGAACACAUUUCCACUUCACCUCAGUCUAUCUUAAAUGAACUCAGGCCCAGAGAAGGUGGUGACUUUUCUGGAUCCUGUUUCUGCAUGGCUUAUUCUUUGUAUGGUAGAGAUUUAACUUGCAUUUGUGGAUGCAGUGAUGAACUGGAUUCACAAACAAAAAUUUUUAGAAGUGUUUCUGAACUCAUGCGGUGAUUUCCACUACAGAGUUGUGUCUGUUUUUAAAGCAGUGCUGCCUGAGAUCCUGAACACCACAGCCAUCCAGUAUUACUUUUUGGCCUUGUUCCUUGCAUACAGAAAUUUUUCUGGAUUGUCUGAAUCUUUUAAUGAUAUUAUGUACCAUAGAUGAUGAAAUCCCCAAGUUCAUUGCUAUUUUAUGUUGAGAAAAGUUAUUCUUGAAUUGUUGCACUAUUUGCCCACACAGUCUUUCAUAAAAUGGUGAACCCAUCCUCA